rnacentral:rRNA from 1 species
AUUGAACGCUGGCGGCGGGCUUAACACAUGCAAGUCGAGCGGGGUGAUGGUGCUUGCACUAUCACUUAGCGGCGGACGGGUGAGUAAUGCUUAGGAAUCUGCCUAUUAGUGGGGGACAACAUCUCGAAAGGGAUGCUAAUACCGCAUACGUCCUACGGGAGAAAGCAGGGGAUCACUUGUGACCUUGCGCUAAUAGAUGAGCCUAAGUCGGAUUAGCUAGUUGGUGGGGUAAAGGCCUACCAAGGCGACGAUCUGUAGCGGGUCUGAGAGGAGGAUCCGCCACACUGGGGCGGAGACACGGCCCAGACUCCUACGGGAGGCAGCAGUGGGGAAUAUUGGACAAUGGGGGGAACCCUGAUCCAGCCAUGCCGCGUGUGUGAAGAAGGCCUUAUGGUUGUAAAGCACUUUAAGCGAGGAGGAGGCUCUUUUGGUUAAUACCCAAGAUGAGUGGACGUUACUCGCAGAAUAAGCACCGGCUAACUCUGUGCCAGCCGCCGCAGUAA